rnacentral:rRNA from 1 species
UACGGAGGGUGCAAGCGUUAUCCGGAUUCACUGGGUUUAAAGGGAGCGUAGGUGGGCUGGUAAGUCAGUGGUGAAAUCUCCGGGCUUAACUCGGAAACUGCCGUUGAUACUAUCAGUCUUGAAUAUUGUGGAGGUAAGCGGAAUAUGUCAUGUAGCGGUGAAAUGCUUAGAUAUGACAUAGAACACCAAUUGCGAAGGCAGCUCACUACGGGAUUAUUGACACUGAGGCACGAAAGCGUGGGGAUCAAACAGG